rnacentral:tRNA from 1 species
AGGGAGUCAUAAGACCUGCUAACUCUUUAAUCUGGAAAUUACCCCCAGCCCCCUC